rnacentral:rRNA from 1 species
UACGGGGGGGGCAAGCGUUGUUCGGAAUUACUGGGCGUAAAGGGCUCGUAGGCGGCCAACUAAGUCAGACGUGAAAUCCCUCGGCUUAACCGGGGAACUGCGUCUGAUACUGGAUGGCUUGAGAUUGGGAGAGGGAUGCGGAAUUCCAGGUGUAGCGGUGAAAUGCGUAGAUAUCUGGAGGAAUACCGGUGGCGAAGGCGGCAUCCUGGACCGGCAUUGACGCUGAGUGAGCGAAAGCCAGGGGAGCAAACGGG